rnacentral:rRNA from 1 species
CCCUUAGAUAUCCUGGGCCGCACGCGUAAUACACUGAUGCAAGCAAUAAGUUCACCUGAUCCGAAAGGAACUGGGUAAUCUUCAUAAACUGCAUCGUGCUUGGGAUAGAUCUUUGUAAUUGUGGAUCUUGAACGAGGAAUUCCUAGUAAGUAUGAGUCAUCAACUCAUGCUGACUACGUCCCUGCCCUUUGUACACACCGCCCGUCACUUCUACCGAUUCGAGUGGUUCGACGAAUGACUAGGAUUGAUACCAUUUGGUUGUCAAAAAUUUUUGUAAGUCAUAUCACUUAGAGGAAGGAUAAGGCGUAACA